GAAUUUUGGACAAUGGGCGCAAGCCUGAUCCAGCCAUGCCGCGUGAGUGAAGAAGGCCUUCGGGUUGUAAAGCUCUUUCGGUGAAGACGAAACGGUUAGCGUUAAUAACGCUGACUAAUGACGGUACUCACAGAAGAAGCACCGGCUAACUACGUGCCAGCAGCCGCGGUACUACGUAGGGUGCAGGCGUUAAUCGGAAUUACUGGGCGUAAAGCGUGCUCAGGCGGUCUGUUAAGACAGGUGUGAAAUCCCCGAGCUCAACUUGGGAAUUGCGCUUGUAACUGGCAGGCUAGAGUGUGGCAGAGGGGGGUGGAAUUCCACGUGUAGCAGUGAAAUGCGUAGAUAUGUGGAGGAACACCGAUGGCGAAGGCAGCCCCCUGGGUCAACACUGACGCUCAGGCACGAAAGCGUGGGGAGCAAACAGG
rnacentral:rRNA from 1 species